ACAGCAGCCGCCGCGGUAAUACGUAGGUCCCGAGCGUUGUCCGGAUUUAUUGGGCGUAAAGCGAGCGCAGGCGGUUAGAUAAGUCUGAAGUGAAAGGCAGUGGCUCAACCAUUGUAGGCUUUGGAAACUGUUUAACUUGAGUGCAGAAGGGGAGAGUGGAAUUCCAUGUGUAGCGGUGAAAUGCGUAGAUAUAUGGAGGAGCACCGGUGGCGAAAGCGGCUCUCUGGUCUGUCACUGACGCUGAGGCUCGAAAGCGUGGGUAGCGAACAGGAUUAGAUACCCCGGUAGUCCCUGUCUCUUAUACA
rnacentral:rRNA from 1 species